rnacentral:rRNA from 1 species
UACAGAGGGUGCGAGCGUUAAUCGGAAUUACUGGGCGUAAAGCGCGCGUAGGCGGCUUGUUAAGUCAAAUGUGAAAUCCCCGAGCUUAACUUGGGCAUUGCAUUCGAUACUGGCAAGCUAGAGUAUGGGAGAGGAAGGUAGAAUUCCAGGUGUAGCGGCGAAAUGCGUAGAGAUCUGGAGGAAUACCGAUGGCGAAGGCAGCCUUCUGGCCUAAUACUAACGCUGAGGUGCGAAAGCAUGGGGAGCAAACAGG